UGGGCCAAUGUAAUGUCUGGAGGGCAGUCACCAGUCUAAUGGGCCAAUGUAAUGUCUGGAGGGCAGUCACCAGUCUAGGGUCCAAUGUAAUGUCUGGAGGGCAGUCCCCAGUCUAGUGGGCCAAUGUAAUGUCUGGAGGGCAGUCCCCAGUCUAAUGGGCCAAUGUAAUGUCUGGAGGGCAGUCACCAGUCUAAUGGGCCAAUGUAAUGUCUGGAGGGCAGUCACCAGUCUAAUGGGCCAAUGUAAUGUCUGGAGGGCAGUCCCCAGUCUAAUGGGCCAAUGUAAUGUCUGGAGGGCAGUCCCCAGUCUAAUGGGCCAAUGUAAUGUCUGGAGGGCAGUCACCAGUCUAAUGGGCCAAUGUAAUGUCUGGAGGGCAGUCACCAGUCUAAUGGGUCAAUGUAAUGUCUGGAGGGCAGUCACCAGUCUAAUGGGCCAAUGUAAUGUCUGGAGGGCAGUCACCAGUCUAAUGGGCCAAUGUAAUGUCUGGAGGGCAGUCACCAGUCUAAUGGGCCAAUGUAAUGUCUGGAGGGCAGUCACCAGUCUAAUGGGCCAAUGUAAUGUCUGGAGGGCAGUCACCAGUCUAAUGGGCCAAUGUAAUGUCUGGAGGGCAGUCACCAGUCUAAUGGGCCAAUGUAAUGUCUGGAGGGCAGUCACCAGUCUAGGGGCCAAUGUAAUGUCUGGAGGGCAGUCACCAGUCUAGUGGGUCAAUGUAAUGUCUGGAGGGCAGUCACCAGUCUAAUGGGCCAAUGUAAUGUCUGGAGGGCAGUCACCAGUCUAGUGGGUCAAUGUAAUGUCUGGAGGGCAGUCACCAGUCUAGUGGGUCAAUGUAAUGUCUGGAGGGCAGUCACCAGUCUAAUGGGCCAAUGUAAUGUCUGGAGGGCAGUCACCAGUCUAAUGGGCCAAUGUAAUGUCUGGAGGGCAGUCACCAGUCUAGUGGGCCAAUGUAAUGUCUGGAGGGCAGUCACCAGUCUAGGGGCCAAUGUAAUGUCUGGAGGGCAGUCACCAGUCUAGGGGUCAAUGUAAUGUCUGGAGGGCAGUCACCAGUCUAGUGGGUCAAUGUAAUGUCUGGAGGGCAGUCACCAGUCUCGUGGGCCAAUGUAAUGUCUGGAGGGCAGUCACCAGUCUAGUGGGUCAAUGUAAUGUCUGGAGUCUGGAGACUGGUGACUGGACACAGUGUAUAUCAGUUUAAACGUGUUGGUGUGGGUAGAAUCAUCUCUCUAAUCUCUCUAGUGUAGGUAGAAUCCUCUCUCUAAUCUCUCUGGUGUAGGUAGAAUCCUCUCUCUAAUCUCUCUGGUGUAGGUAGAAUCCUCUCUCUAAUCUCUCUGGUGUAGGUAGAAUCCUCUCUCUAAUCUCUCUGGUGUAGGUAGAAUCCUCUCUCUAAUCUCUCUGGUGUAGGUAGAAUCCUCUCUCUAAUCUCUCUGGUGUAGGUAGAAUCCUCUCUCAUCUCUCUGGUGUAGGUGGAAUCCUCUCUCUAAUCUCUCUGGUGUGGGUAGAAUCCUCUAAUCUUUCUGGUGUGGGCAUAAUCCUCUCUCUAAUCUCUCUGGUGUGGGCAGAAUCCUCUCUCUAAUCUCUCUGGUGUGGGCAGAAUCCUCUCUCUAAUAUCUCUGGUGUGGGCAGAAUCCUCUCUCUAAUCUCUCUGGUGUAGGUAGAAUCCUCUCUCUAAUCUCUCUGGUGUAGGUAGAAUCCUCUCUCUAAUCUCUCUGGUGUAGGUAGAAUCCUCUCUCUCUGGUGUAGGUAGAAUCCUCUCUCUCUGGUGUAGGUAGAAUCCUCUCUCUCUGGUGUAGGUAGAAUCCUCUCUCUCUGGUGUAGGUAGAAUCCUCUCUCUCUGGUGUAGGUAGAAUCCUCUCUCUCUGGUGUGGGUAGAAUCCUCUCUCUCUGGUGUGGGUAGAAUCCUCUCUCUCUGGUGUGGGUAGAAUCCUCUCUCUCUGGUGUAGGUAGAAUCCUCUCUCUCUGGUGUAGGUAGAAUCCUCUCUCUCUGGUGUAGGUAGAAUCCUCUCUCUCUGGUGUAGGUAGAAUCCUCUCUCUCUGGUGUAGGUAGAAUCCUCUCUCUCUGGUGUAGGUAGAAUCCUCUCUCUCUGGUGUAGGUAGAAUCCUCUCUCUCUGGUGUAGGUAGAAUCCUCUCUCUCUGGUGUAGGUAGAAUCCUCUCUCUCUGGUGUAGGUAGAAUCCUCUCUCUCUGGUGUAGGUAGAAUCCUCUCUCUCUGGUGUAGGUAGAAUCCUCUCUCUCUGGUGUAGGUAGAAUCCUCUCUCUCUGGUGUAGGUAGAAUCCUCUCUCUCUGGUGUAGGUAGAAUCCUCUCUCUCUGGUGUAGGUAGAAUCCUCUCUCUCUGGUGUAGGGAGAAUCCUCUCUCUCUGGUGUAGGGAGAAUCCUCUCUCUCUGGUGUAGGGAGAAUCCUCUCUCUCUGGUGUAGGGAGAAUCCUCUCUCUCUGGUGUAGGGAGAAUCCUCUCUCUCUGGUGUAGGGAGAAUCCUCUCUCUCUGGUGUAGGGAGAAUCCUCUCUCUCUGGUGUAGCGAGAAUCCUCUCUCUCUGGUGUAGGGAGAAUCCUCUCUCUCGGGUGUAGGGAGAAUCCUCUCUCUCGGGUGUAGGUAGAAUCCUCUCUCUCUGGUGUUGGUAGAAUCCUCUCUCUCUGGUGUAGGUAGAAUCCUCUCUCUCUGGUGUAGGUAGAAUCCUCUCUCUAAUCUCUCUGGUGUAGGUAGAAUCCUCUCUCUAAUCUCUCUGGUGUAGGUAUAAUCCUCUCUCUAAUCUCUCCUGUCUCAGCAUGUUGAUGGAAAGCAGAUCUGGACAUGAAGGAUGAGUAGACAUGCUGGUGGUCUAACUUCACUGUGUGCUCAGCACCUUAUUUACAGUCAAUGGCUCAGCACAGGGCUGGGUGGGAAGUCUGCAGAAUAAUCCACUGAACUGAACCCACUGUUCACUGGCCUAGUGAUUUUUUUAUUUAACCUUUAUUUAACUAGGCAAGUCAGUUAAGAACAAAUUCUUAUUUACAAUGACGGCCUACAUCGGCCAAACCCAGACUACGCUGGGGCAAUUGUGCAUCGCCCUACGGAACUCCCAAUCACGGCCGUUUUGGCCGGUGAUGAGGUGGACCUGUAUGGGAUCGAGACACUGAACACAGACAGCCCUGCUAGCUAGGUUUCUCUAACCUCUCUGGCUACAUCUUAUGCAGGAAGUGUAUUACAUAUGCAUCCAGAAUGUGAAAGGAGUGAGUGUAAUGAUGAAAUCUCUGUGACCCAGAUAUAGUAUUUCCUGUAAUCUCGCAAUUAGAGGUGGACAUGAAUUGUCUUCCGGUCUGAUUCAGGGUCAGGUUGGCUUGUUUUGUGGGGCUAAUUCAACAUACCUCAACCUUGAAUAGAUUGCUAUAGCAGAUCAUCAUAUGACUACUUUGUCCAUAUCUGCAUAGCAUUUUAUAACCAUUAACAGGCUUUAUCUAUCUGAGAAAUAUCUGGCUCUUUGAAAAAUAGGUCAAUGGACAAGACUUGUGGAGCUGCUGCUGUUGUUGCUCAUGCAGCUGCCUGUUGGAAAUCUGGACAAGAAUUGUGGAGCUGCUGCUGCUGUUGUUGCUCAUGCAGCUGCCUGUUGGAAAUCUGGGCAAGACGGGUCUUGUUCCCCUGGCUUCUAUAAACCCCGGCCGGUCCUAACGAGAACCAGAUGCUGAAUGAAUCAGGCUAUUGUGGCUUCGCUGUCUGGGCUGCUGAAACUCUCCCUCUCACUCACUGCCCCUCUCUCUCUUCCCCUCUUACAUCUCUUACUGUCCUUCACUUUCUCCUCUCCCCUCUCUCUUUCCCUCCUAUCCCCUCUCUCUUCCUUCCUCUCCCUCUCUCUUUCCCCUCUCCCCUCUCUUUUUCCCUCUUUC